UCAAUGCUUUAAAUUGCUCACCCGCCAACAGGACACCUGAGUUGAGCUUAAGCCAACCCAAGACAGGUUGGCAUC
rnacentral:rRNA from 14 species